rnacentral:rRNA from 1 species
AGCAGCCGCGGUAAUUCCAGCUCCAAUAGCGUAUAUUAAAGUUGUUGCAGUUAAAAAGCUCGUAGUUGAAUUUCGGGGUCAGUAGAUUGGUCGUGCCACUGGUAUGAACUGGUCUUACUGAUUCCUCCUUCUUGACGAACUGUGAUGUCAUUAAUUUGGUGUUGCAGGGAAUCAGGACUGUUACUUUGAAAAAUUAGAGUGUUUAAAGCAAGCUAACGCUUGAAUACAUUAGCAUGGAAUAAUGAAAUAGGACGUUUGAUCCUAUUUUGUUGGUUUCUAGGAUCGACGUAAUGAUUAAUAGGGAUAGUUGGGGGCAUUAGUAUUCAAUUGUCAGAGGUGAAAUUCUUGGAUUUAUUGAAGACUAACUACUGCGAAAGCAUUUGCCAAGGAUGUUUUCAUUAAUCAAGAACGAAAGUUAGGGGAUCGAAGACGAUCAGAUACCGUCGUAGUCUUAACCAUAAACUAUGCCGACUAGGGAUCGGAUGAUGUUAAUUUUUAAUGA